UAAGCGAUCCGCCUGGGUAGUACGAGCGCAAGCUUAAAACUCAAAGGAAUAGACGGGGACUUGCACAAGCGGUGGAUUAUGCGGUUCAAUUCGUCGACAAACGAAAAACCUUACCAAGGCUAGAAAUCUAGCUGAAUGCAAGCAGAAACGUUUGCAGUCUCACAAGGACAGCUAGACAGGUGAUGCAUGGCCGUCGUCAGUUCGUGAUUUGAAUUGUUCCCUUAAGUGGGGUAACGAACGCAACCCUUGUUGGUUGUUACAAGUGUCAACCGAGACCACCCAGCACUAAGAUUGGAAAAUGAUUUCGUUUUCUUAUUUUGGUGCUGGGAGGAAGCGAGGAUGACGCCAGGUCAGCAUGUCCCUCUGAUGCCUUGGGCCACACGCAUAAUACAAUCGCCGGUACAACGCGUUGCGACGGGGUAACCCUAAGCUAAUCGUAAUAAGCCGGCGCCAGUUCGGAUUGGGGGCUGCAACUCGACCCCAUGAAGUUGGAAUCGCUAGUAAUCGCGGGUCAGCUAUACCGCGGUGAAUACGUUCUCAAGUCUUGUACUCACCGCCCGUCAAGUCAGGGAAGUUGGGAGGACCCAAAGGCUCGCGCAAGCGGGACUAAGGUAAACUCAAUGACAAAGACUAAGUCGUAACAAGGCACGGGUAGCGGAAGCUGCUCGUGGAA
rnacentral:rRNA from 1 species